AGUGAACGCUGGCGUCGUGCCUAAUACCUGCCAGUCGAACGGAGUGGCGCACAGGUGAGUAAUGUAUAGCUAACUUGUCCAUUACUAAGGGACAACAGUUGGAAACGACUGCUAAUACCUUAUAGUAAUGGAUAGGGCUAUAUCGUAUCAGCUAGUUGGUAAGGUAACGGCUUACCACGGGUAUGAAGCGUAACUGGGCUGAGAGGAUGAUCAGUAGAACUGGAACUGAGACACGGUCCAGACACCUACGGGAGGAAGCAGGAGGGAAGAGUGCUCAAUGCGGGAAACUCUGAAGCAGCAACGCCGCGUAGAGGAUGACACUUUUCGGAGAGUAAACUCCUAUUAUUGGGAAAGCGGUACCCAAGGAAUAAGCACCGGCUAACUCCGUGCCAGCAGCCGCGGUAAGAC
rnacentral:rRNA from 1 species